GAUGAACGCUGGCGGCGUGCCUAAUACAUGCAAGUCGAGCGAACAGACGAGGAGCUUGCUCCUCUGACGUUAGCGGCGGACGGGUGAGUAACACGUGGAUAACCUACCUAUAAGACUGGGAUAACUUCGGGAAGCCGGAGCUAAUACCGGAUAAUAUAUUGAACCGCAUGGUUCAAUAGUGAAAGACGGUUUUGCUGUCACUUAUAGAUGGAUCCGCGCCGCAUUAGCUAGUUGGUAAGGUAACGGCUUACCAAGGCAACGAUGCGUAGCCGACCUGAGAGGGUGAUCGGCAACACUGGAACUGAGACACGGUCCAGACUCCGACGGGAGGCAGCAGUAGGGAAUCUUCCGCAAUGGGCGAAAGCCUGACGGAGCAACGCCGCGUGAGUGAUGAAGGUCUUCGGAUCGUAAAACUCUGUUAUUAGGGAAGAACAAAUGUGUAAGUAACUAUGCACGUCUUGACGGUACCUAAUCAGAAAGCCACGGCUAACUACGUGCCAGCAGCCGCGGUAA
rnacentral:rRNA from 1 species